AUCCUUUUGUAGUUUAUAAGCAUGAUGACUGAGUUGCUACACAACUGCCUGAGAUGUGCCACCCACAAACUUUGUUACGACUUUGGCAUAUUACCCGUCUGACA
ensembl:snoRNA